rnacentral:rRNA from 1 species
UACAGAGGGGGCAAGCGUUGUUCGGAAUUACUGGGCGUAAAGGGCGCGUAGGCGGCCCGCUAAGUCGAACGUGAAAUCCCCGAGCUCAACUCGGGAACUGCGUCCGAUACUGGCGGGCUUGAAUCCGGGAGAGGGAUGCGGAAUUCCAGGUGUAGCGGUGAAAUGCGUAGAUAUCUGGAGGAAUACCGGUGGCGAAGGCGGCAUCCUGGACCGGCAUUGACGCUGAGGAGCGAAAGCCAGGGGAGCAAACGGG